GCGCGCGUGUGUCUACGGUGUGUACGUGAGAAAGAGAGAGAUGGCAACAGGAGAAAACAGAGGAAAGUAACAGAAUUAAAGUUAACAGUGUGUUAAAAGUGAGUAUAUUAGCAAGGUAACAAACCAUCACAGAAGAUAGGAUAAGGAGAAGCAACCGGGAGUCGGAAAAUCUUGUUUCCCACCUCUGUUUGUGUCGAUCAGAUAUUAUGGACCGAGUGAGAACUACCACAAAGAUCCCUUUCUAUUGAUGGCGAGCCUCCCAGUGUGAUCUUGAAGAGAAGCAGGUCGACUCAGUGAAUACUCCAUUUGGUGUGGGAGCACUCUGGGAGUCCGCCUGGCUGCUGAAGGGGAACUCAUGGCCAUCUUCAGGCUGCGUUGCUUUGACUUCUUG